GAUGAACGCUGGCGGCGUGCCUAAUACAUGCAAGUCGAGCGAACAGACGAGGAGCUUUCUCCUCUGACGUUAGCGGCGGACGGGUGAGUAACACGUGGAUAACCUACCUAUAAGACUGGGAUAACUUCGGGAAACCGGAGCUAAUACCGGAUAAUAUAUCGAACUGCAUGGUGCAAUAGUGAAAGACGGUUUUGCUGUCACUUAUAGAUGGAUCCGCGCCGCAUUAGCUAGUUGGUAAGGUAACGGCUUACCAAGGCAACGAUGCGUAGCCGACCUGAGAGGGUGAUCGGCCACACGGGAACUGAGACACGGUCCAGACUCCUGCGCGAGGCAGCAGUCGGGAAUCUUCCGCAAUGGGCGAAAGCCUGACAGAGCAACACCGCGUGAGUGAUGAAGGUCUUCGGAUCGUAAAACUCUGUUAUUAGGGAAGAACAAAUGUGUAAGUAACUAUGCACGUCUUGACGGUACCUGAACAGAAAGCCCCGGCUAACUACGUG
rnacentral:rRNA from 1 species